rnacentral:rRNA from 1 species
GUCUACGGCCAUGCCACCUUGAACGUGCCCGAUUCCGUCUGAUCUCGGAAGCUAAGCACGGUCGGGCCUGGCUAGUACUUGGAUGGGAGACCACCUAGGAGGACCAGGUGCUGUAGGCG